rnacentral:rRNA from 1 species
GUGUCAGCCGCCGCGGUAAUACAGAGGGGGCCAGCGUUAUUCGGAAUUAUUGGGCGUAAAGGGCGCGUAGGCGGCCAUGCGUGUCUUCCGUGAAAUCCCUCGGCUUAACCGAGGACGUGCGGAAGAAACUGCAAGGCUCGAGUCCGGAAGAGGGGGGCGGAAUUCCCAGUGUAGCGGUGAAAUGCGUAGAUAUUGGGAGGAACACCAGUGGCGAAGGCGGUCCCCUGGGCCGGAACUGACGCUGAGGCGCGAAAGCGUGGGUAGCAAACGGGAUUAGAAACCCUCGUAGUCC